GCAUGGUCUUAGCUUGCUAAGGCCGAUGGCGACCGGCGCACGGGUGAGUAACACGUAUCCAACCUGCCGUCUACUCUUGGACAGCCUUCUGAAAGGAAGAUUAAUACAAGAUGGCAUCAUGAGUCCGCAUGUUCACAUGAUUAAAGGUAUUCCGGUAGACGAUGGGGAUGCGUUCCAUUAGAUAGUAGGCGGGGUAACGGCCCACCUAGUCUUCGAUGGAUAGGGGUUCUGAGAGGAAGGUCCCCCACAUUGGAACUGAGACACGGUCCAAACUCCUACGGGAGGCAGCAGUGAGGAAUAUUGGUCAAUGGGCGAGAGCCUGAACCAGCCAAGUAGCGUGAAGGAUGACUGCCCUAUGGGUUGUAAACUUCUUUUAUAAAGGAAUAAAGUCGGGUAUGGAUACCCGUUUGCAUGUACUUUAUGAAUAAGGAUCGGCUAACUCCGUGCCAGCAGCCGCGGUAAUACGGAGGAUCCGAGCGUUAUCCGGAUUUAUUGGGUUUAAAGGGUGCGUAGAUGGUGAUUUAAGUCAGCGGUGAAAGUUUGUGGCUCAACCAUAA
rnacentral:rRNA from 1 species